ensembl:lncRNA
CUUCUUCUCAUGUAGAGUUAGGAUGAUUUUAUUUACAAUCGGGACAGUGUUUGGAUAAAUGGGGUGGGUCAAUUUGGUGUAGUAUUUGGGAUCAUUAAGCUGUCUGUAGCCUUCCCAUAAAUAUUGCUCCCUGUCCAAGAUCACUAUAGAGCUGCCCUUAUCUGCUGGUUUAAUAACUAUGUGUUUGUUAUUAACUAGUUCAUCAAGUGCCCGCACUUCCUCCCUACUGAGGUUAGGCGGCACGUGGUGAAUUUUGAAGUGUGUGUUAAAAUACCGAAUGUCUGAUUGUAUUAGAGCAGUUAUGGUGUGUGGUAUUUGUGCCUGUACAGGAGCCCAGGACGAUUUAUAAAUGAACGGGAGUCGUUCACACUCUCUCGAGUUUUCAAAAUAAGCCGCCAGCUUUAACCUCCUGUGAUACUGCUGUAGAUCAAAGCGGCUCUGCUCCACAAUCUGUUUAUUAGUUCCCUUUAGUGGGAAUGAAAUUUAACCCCCUGCCAAGGAGAGUGCGCUGUGCUUCGGUGAGUUUAAAGUUCUUGGUGAGGUUGAUGACUAACUUAUCCCCCUCCUGAGUAGGCAGGUUUAUGGGGACAAUUAGUUUAAGUAGUGCACCCAAUGGUCAAAUAUGCGGGCAGCUGUGGCUCGGGUCCAGUGGAUGUUAUCCGGACCUGUGUGGAAGAGACCUGCUGGCAACGCUGGGAUGUACUCACACAUUUUUGCAAUAGCAGUGUUGAGAUGUGUGAGGCGCAGUUUCUCCUUCGGGGGAAGAUCUCCGGAGAAGUUGACCUGUGGCACAAAAACGUCAGCAGAUGGAAAAGUCAGUUGAACGCUUCUGAGGGCCCUCUGCAGCUGUUUGAUGGCCGUCUCCUGCGUUUUUUGGACCCGGUUAUUAAUGCCGAAGGCCAAAAUGACCUUCUGCACCGUGACCUCAGAGGUCGUCUUGUUCAUCAGGAGAUCUGCGUUUCUGAAGGUGCCCCCUGGAAAAGCAUCCACCUGCAGAUCCUCGAUGUCGUGGGCUGGAAGUUUGUACACAUUGGAGU